UGGGGAAUAUUGCACAAUGGGCGCAAGUCUGAUGGAGCAACGCCGCGUGAGUGAAGAAGGCUUUCGGGUCGUAAAACUCUGUUAUUGAAGAAGAACGUGUGUGACAGUAACUGGUCAUGCAGUGACGGUAUUCAAUCAGAAAGUCACGGCUAACUACGUGCCAGCAGCCGCGGUAAUACGUAGGUGGCAAGCGUUGUCCGGAUUUAUUGGGCGUAAAGCGAGUGCAGGCGGUCUUUUAAGUCUGAUGUGAAAGCCUUCGGCUUAACCG
rnacentral:rRNA from 1 species